rnacentral:lncRNA from 1 species
UGGCAGCAGUAAUUUGAAGUCUCUCAUUCCUUUGGUUGUUGAUGAACUAAGGAAUCAAUGAAAGGGCUGAUAGCCUUAAAGAAUCGAAAAUGGUGAAGGUGGUGGGUAGCUGAGGGGAUGGGAUGUCAUAGGGUGGCUGAUUGACUCUCUAGGUGUACCUUGGGUAUGGCCUUGAAGCUGCUCCAGCUGCUGCAGAGAAGGGAUGGGAGCUGCUGUUGCAGCUGCUCUUGAACAGGACGUCCCUCCCUCCCCUAUUCUUCUCUCUCUGCCCCUUUUUUCUCUAUUUUUGUUGCUGCGUGUACAAACUAGAUAGUAGGAGUGAAGUUGUAACGUAGCUAGGAACAAAUCCUUCUGUCUUGUAUUUUAAAACUGAAAUAUAGUUCCGAGUUUUGCUAAUAUCGCGUGUUUGUAGUCGAAUACUAGUUACUCUAAUAAAUCCCGUAUUUCGAUAUCUAAUUUCUUACCUGCAAAUUCUAG